UACUUUUUAAAUAAAAAAAAAAAACCGUAAAACAGAAAAGCCUGCUACAAGCCUUCGGCUUGGAAUGCUCCCUCGAUUUUCGUAUUCAAUUUUUCCAGACUUUUCACACAACGGAAAUUCAACGGAGAAAUAAUCUCUCUCUUCCAAUCUAAUCGAAUACUCAGCUCAAUUUCCUCUCAUGGCUUCCUUUCGCAGGCUUCUUCCUCUUUGCUCCUCCCUCAACAGAACGAGCUUUUCUUCUCCUAGAGUUCGAGAAGGAUUAGGAGCAAAUGUUCGAGGCUACAGUGGAAUUGCACCCUCUGAGGAAACGAUAUCAAAGUUUGAGGAAGGAAUAAGGCGAGCUGAGGCGGAUUUGGUGGUUAAUGAUGACAUUGACAAGAUUCGGAGGGAAUUUGAUGCUGCCAAACGGAGUUUCCUUAAGAUUCCCGAAGCACUCAAGGCAAUGCCGAAGACAAAUCCUGAAGGGAUAUAUGUCAAUAGGAGUAUUAGACUGGAUCUUAUUCAAGUAUAUGGAUUCGACUAUGAUUUUACGUUGGCACAUUACUCUGCUAACUUGCAGAGUUUGAUAUAUGAUCUCGCAAAGGAGCAUAUGGUGAAUGAGUUUAGGUAUCCUGAGGUUUGCAUGAGUUUUAAAUAUGAUCCAUCUUUUCCCAUUAGAGGACUGUACUAUGACAAGCAGAAUGGGUGUCUCUUGAAGUUGGAUUUUUUUGGUUCAAUAGAGCCAGAUGGGUGCUUCUACGGUCGUCGCCAGGUAGGUGAGAAGGAAAUAGAAGAGAUAUAUGGCACAAGACAUAUUGGCCGUGACCAGGCGCGUGAGCUUGUGGGCUUGAUGGACUUUUUCUGCUUCAGCGAGGCAUGCCUCAUUGCUGAUAUUGUGCAGUAUUUCGUUGAUGCUAAACUAGAAUUCGAUGCCUGUUAUAUAUAUCAAGAUGUCAAUCGUGCAAUUGAGCAUGUUCAUCGAAGUGGUUUGGUUCAUAGAGGAAUUCUUUCUGAUCCUCAUCGAUAUCUAGUAAAAAAUGGUCAGCUAUUACACUUUCUUAGGCUGUUAAAGGAGAAAGGGAAGAAACUUUUCUUGCUGACAAACUCACCGUAUUAUUUUGUUGAUGGAGGGAUGCAGUUUAUGUUGGAGGAUUCUACGGGUGGCAGAGAUUCGUGGAGGGAGCUUUUUGAUGUUGUAAUUGCAAAAGCUAAUAAGCCAGAGUUUUACACUUCUGAGCGUCCAUUCCGGUGCUAUGACACUGAGAAGGACACUCUAGCUUUUACAAAAGUGGAUAAAUUUCUUCAAAAUAAAAUAUAUUACCACGGGUGCCUCAAAUCCUUUCUCCAAAUUACAAAGUGGAAUGGUCCAGAGGUGAUAUACUUUGGUGAUCACCUAUUUAGUGACUUAAGAGGCCCUUCAAAGGCUGGUUGGCGGACUGCUGCGAUCAUCCAGGAACUAGAAAGUGAAAUACGCAUGCAAAACGAGGAUAGUUAUCGAUUUGAACAGGCAAAAUUUCAUAUACUACAGGAAUUGCUUGGGAGGUUACAUGCAACUGUAGCCAAUAAUAAGAGAAGUGAGGCAUACAAGUUACUUAUGGAUGAACUAAAUGAAGAGAGGCAGAAAGCACGCUCCAUGAUGAAGAGAAUGUUCAAUAGAUCUUUUGGGGCCACCUUCCUCACUGACAAAGGUCAAGAAUCUGCUUUUGCAUAUCACAUCCAUCAAUAUGCCGAUGUUUACACUAGUAAACCAGAGAACUUCUUGUUCUAUUCACCUGAGACAUGGCUCCAUGCACCCUUUGAUAUCAAGAUCAUGCCUCAUCAUGUGAAGGUUCCAUCAAGUUUGUUCAAAAAUCAGUAGAUGUUACUUCUCAAUGCCAUAAAGGAUGGGACGUUUCUUAAAGUUUCAUCAUUUUAUUCAGCUCCAAAUGUGGCUAGGAUGGCCAUUUGUUGAUGUUUCUGUCAUGAGGGUGACCGUGGUAUUAUGCUCGUGUUCAGUGAUUGGGUGGGAACUGCAUGACAAAUAAUUCACGUUGCUUGUCGCAUGACACGUGCUUAAGGUACUUACCUUUUAACACUUGUACUUAUCCAAAAUACUGAGGCUCUUUUGGUGUCACAUCUAUUUUUAUUGAAAGUUCAAAAAUGUUAACGAUCCUAAUUUUAAAAAAAAAAUAGGUAGGGAAAAUUGAAAAAACUUUUUUUAUGCCAAUUAAUUUUUGAGUUCUAAGAAUAUACUUUAUAAAUUUGACUAGUACUUUUUCUUUUCUUUUUUUUUUAAUAUUUGUUGUUUUUUGUUUUUAAUUUAUGGCAAACCUUAUCCGUCCUUGGUGGGGAGGUGUAGCUCUUCCUCUCAUCAUCCCAAGAGAACACAAGUGGUUUACAGGUGGAUGCCUGCAUUAGUUUCAGCCCUUCAACUGCUAUUGGCCAUUGGGGAUAACAGAAAUAUUUUCUUUCUAUUUUAGACAAAUUUGAGAAAGUUGGAGAGAAGAAGGUAAGAUUCAAAUCUUAACUUAAAUACAAGCUUUGUUUAAAGACUUGUCGAGUUUUGUUUUCUCAUAAUUUGAGAAGAAAUAGACUUGGUUUUGGGUUUGUGGAGGAGUCAUAGGCUGCACAAUAUUCCUUAAAUUGACCUUUGAAUCUAAGAAAUAGAGACAAAACAAAGUCAAAGGAGACGAUGAAGCAAAUAUUAGAUUGCGUACAAACAGCGGCCACGCAGAACUCACCUUCUCGGUGACCAAAUCAAAUUGGAAGCCAAAGGGUUUUUGGCAUUUCUCCCCACGCAAUCCAUCACCUGAAACUUGCCAGCCUCUUUUCUUGUUUGCUUUUGAGUUGUGAAAUAAACCCAAUGCAGUGCCACUUGUUAUGACAUCAAUGGCUUCCGUAAUUGCUACUUGUUACCACAUUUAUGCUUC